rnacentral:rRNA from 1 species
ACCGACAAGUAAAUCACCCUGAAUGCGACUGAUCUCAUCAGAUCUCUUAGGCUAAGCAUCAUUGAGCCUGGUUAACACCUGGAUGGGAAACGGCCUGGGAAAACCAAGUAUUGUAGGCU